rnacentral:rRNA from 1 species
UACGUAGGGUGCAAGCGUUGUCCGGAAUUAUUGGGCGUAAAGAGCUCGUAGGCGGUUCGUCGCGUCGGCUGUGAAAUCCCGAGGCUCAACCUCGGGUCUGCAGUCGAUACGGGCGGACUGGAGUACUGCAGGGGAGACUGGAAUUCCUGGUGUAGCGGUGAAAUGCGCAGAUAUCAGGAGGAACACCGGUGGCGAAGGCGGCGACCUGGUCCGAUACUGACGCUGAGGCGCGAAAGCGUGGGGAGCAAACAGG